CCUCGGGCCGGGCCCCUACCUGGCCGAGCUGGGAAGAAAGCCAUUUGCGGGUGCCAGGUGCCCGCACCCCGGGCCGCCCGGCCUGGCAGGGACCGGGCGCUUCGUGCAGCCGCAGUGCGGAGGUGGGAGCCGGUGCCGGGACUGGAGCGAAAAUGAACAUUCCCCACAGACGUGGAGCUUUGCCGUGUAGGUGCGUGAUGCGAUUGUGCAAAGGGGCACCCGGCGCCCCCACGGCCCUGCGAGCCCAUCCCAAGGCGCCCGGCCCGCAGCCUCCUCUGCUGUCCCCGUUGAUUUAUUUCACGCCAAAGGAAUGCCUUUGACAUUAGGAGAAGCAAUGGAGAACACGCGGGGCCCUGGUAAGGCCGGUCACACCUUGGGUAAAACAGAGCCAACACCGGCAGGUCCCCGAGCCUAACGGUGUGUCCCCAUUCUGGGAAGUCCUUCAUCCGCGUGGCAUUCUUGGGAACAUCGCCGACCCAGGUCUGAAUUGUUUUCCUGGAACGAACGAUUGUGAGAGAUGCUUUAGGAUGCACACCCCCAAGCAUGAACCUGGACACAAAUUCACAUGCAAAUUGCGCUGAGUAAAAUUUCUCUUCUUGAUAUUUUGCUUGGAAUAUUUCAUUGCCCGAGGUCUUCAGAGGCAUUGUCCAACCAUCUGGAGGUUUCCAUCAGACCCAGCGUCUCGCUGAGAAUCUCCUACCAUCCCGAGUCUGGGGCGAGAAGGGCCUCGCUGACCCCCGUGUCCCUUGCUGAGAGCAGCGCUACUCAGGGAGCGCUCCAAGAGAAAUUUGGAUGUGUCACCUGAAACCUCAUUCCCAGUCACUGAAAUGAGCUCCGCGCCCACGUGGGAAAUGUGUGCCUGUCGAUCUUUCUGAAUACAUUUCACGACAUUGAUUUUAAAUACCCCACCAUUGUUUUCCUUUGGAUUGUAUGAUUAUCACGCUCAUUUAGAGGCCCCAGAACUCACAUUGUAAAAAUCAACUGACUGUUUCUGACUUGCUGAUUUUCCAUGAAAAACAGGGAAAACUCUAGUGUGUUCGGGAGAAAAUGUUUGGAUAUGAUGUGAACUAAAAUGUGCCACUUCAGUGGGCUGUGAAAAGUCUCCACUUAUGUGUGUUUAGAGUCCAAUUCUCCCCCUAACUUAGGCUCCGAAUCCCCACUGAUGAUGUUACAUCCCAAACAAAUCCAAUUCCACGACUUUUUAAGGAAGGUGUGCUCGGUGUGCUCGGAACAAAUAGAAUCAAAAUACGCUUUGCAGCAUCCUGUCCGAAAGGGCUGGCGCCUUGAGGAAAUGCUGGAUGGCUCGGGAAAAACGGAGGGCCCUUUAGCUUUCCAUGCUUAAUUUAUUUAGACCUAUCGCUCUUUGAAAAUCUCCUCCAUAAAGUUGGGUCUCAUCAGGCGCAGUGCACGCUGCGGACUAGCCUGGCCCCAAAGUGGCCCACGCUGAAAAUAACAAGCCAGCCGGUUAAUAAGGCCCCGUGUUCCCACUUCUGUGUUCCUGCUUUAUGUGCAUGUAACUCACUUUAAAGACAAUAGAUCCUCCUAACACAGGGCGAGAGGCUUGGAGGAGCCGGUCUGGACUGAGCGCCAACCACGGGACACAGUUCCGGGUUCGCGUCCCUUCCAGAAUAUUCUAGGAGAUGUGGGCUCAUCGAGAUGCACGCCUGAGUCUGUGUUUCUGAAAUCGAAUUCCAUUCUUCCCCAGGACUUGCUCAGAAAAAUCCUGAGAGGAAGUGUGGGAGGAAACACAGCGACGGGGAGACGAGGAGGUCUUUCCUCUCUCUGGGCAGGAGCUGUUGUUUGUCAGGAUGACAACUCUGCAUAAGAAGAGCCCACAGUUGCCUGGACCUACAAACUGCCUGAAAGGCUCCAACAGAAAAUGGGCUAAAAAUCUUGUGGGGACUGACCUUAUAUCAGUGUUUUUGUGCAGCAGACAGUCUCUUGAUAAUGUUUGGGAAAUUUUUACCAUAUCUGCAUUUUGUCAAAUGGUCCAAGCUUCUCCCCACCACACAUAUAAAGACUCCUUAAGGGACAGAACCAAUUACCACUGGAAAAGCCCCCAGAUCGAUGGUGUAUAUGACACACUCUUGAAAACCAAGGGUGCUGGUUACUCAGGACCCAUUGGCAUGUAUUCAGGUAACAGCACACUCUCCUCAUUUCCCUUCCUGGGACUGAAGUCUGUAGUAUUUCCCUCAAGGAGACUGAAUCCACCCAAAAGACAUAAAAAAAAAAAAAAAGACAGGGAAAAAAAAAAAACAGUUCUCAAACAGGAAGACUGCCAGUUGUAAAAAAAAUAAAUAAACAAAUUUUAAAAAUUGAUAAAAUAAUAGACAUAAUAGGAAAGGCUCAAACCUGAAAGUGACAAGUUUACAUGAAGUUCCUGAGACCAUUUACCCAACUCCAUUGUGAAAGAUUACUAGUUUCGAGCAACAGGAUCUUUACAGAACAUGGUAUUUCGGUGCUACUGUCUACUUAAGAGAGUUCCUAUGAAAUCACAAUUCGUGUGGGGUCCUAACUCAGUGGAAGGAAAUCAAUGCAACGCAUCUUCCUGGGACUUUUGUGUCCAAAUGUCAAUAAGCGUCCUCAUGGCCUGGCUCAGGUCAUGUCUGUGUUCCGAGACUUUGGGGCACUUCUCUUCACCUCUUGUGAGCUUUGACACUUUACUCUGAUACUUUAGAUUCAAACCAUACAAAGAGGUCUCCCUUCAUUCAUCCUUAACGUUUAAAAACACACAAAAGAAAACUUUUAUCUUUGAGGCAUUACCACAAGGCCCAUGUUCUUGAGACUUUCCAUUUCAAAAUAAAAUUUUAAAAAAUCA